CUUCGUCUGUGUCUCUCAGCGUGUUGUUCCUGUCAGCUGGUGUGUUGUCAGUACAACAGCCAAUCAAAUUAGAUCUACGUUGUUUUCAUCACGCAGCAUUCAUCCAAUCAAAUUGCAGUACAACCACCGAACAAGUUGUCAAACAACGCAACAAUUAUGCCAAAGUUGGUUUCGUUCGGGUAUAAAAACUACGACUUGGUCAACAAAAAACGAAUUGCCGUAUGGAAAUCACGCAGUUCGAAUAUUACAGACGGAGACGCAACAACGUUCAACAUUUGAAGUUGCACAAAGAAGGGCUCUGGUGGUAAAAGAUGUCUGUGGCGCCCCAACAAGUGUCUCAAAUGGAGUCAGUCCGUCGUCUGGCGAAUACGGCGGACACGCUCUUCACGAUGCCCUUGAGGCCCGUGCACGGCCUCUUGGCGCUCAACUUGGCGUCCUUCACCCCAGUCAGCAGGCCGUGGAAGACCGCCAAAACGCCGUGGUAGUCCUCUGCCGCCGACACCUCGUAGAAGAGGCAGCCGGCGUCCAGGGCCAGGAGGCGGCCCUCCUCGCUCAGCACCGUCCGCCGGUGGUGGAGGUCGCGCUUGUUGCCCACGACGACCACGACGGGCGCCCUGUCGCCGUGCGGGCAUCCUCUGGAGGAUUUGAUGGCGUGGAGCAGGCGGGUGACAGCGGUGAAGCUGGCGCGGUCGCAGAUGCUGUAGGCGAGGACGAAGCCGUCGGCCCACCGGACUUUUCUCUCCAAGAGCGCCGUCUUUAAGGAGAGAAAACAAAGGCGAGUCAUUGUCACGGCCAGGGCGCAUUCCAAUGCACCCUCAUCUUUGCGCUCUGCUUGCCGCACCUCGGGACGCGCCCACAGCCGCGUCACGCCCACAUGCCGGCAAGGCUGUGGGCGAUCAGCAAUCAGUGCACCUGGACCUGAUGAGAGGGAGCUGAAUAAAGGACCAGUGGACCCAAAGAUCCUGGCGGGAACUUAGUUCUCAAUGGUGGACCUUCCUUCCCGAGUCUUACCCCUUGGAGAUCUUCCGUGUUUUGCCUUCCUCGAUCCUCCACCAUCGCUCUGGACAUCACGGUAAUACACAACAGCGAACUACACACAUAGUCUAACCACUCACUCUUGGAUUUUGUCA